UAGCAGCACGUAAAUACUGGCGUUAAGAUUCUAAAAUUAUCUCCAGUAUUAACUGUGCUGCUGAA
ensembl:miRNA ocu-mir-16a ocu-mir-16a